rnacentral:rRNA from 1 species
GAUCCUGGCUCAGAUUGAACGCUGGCGGCAGGCUUAACACAUGCAAGUCGAGCGGGGUGAGGUACUUCGGUACUGAUCCUAGCGGCGGACGGGUGAGUAACACGUAAGAACCUACCUUUGGAGGGGGACAACCACUGGAAACGGUGGCUAAUACCCCAUAGUGCUGAGAAGUGAAAUGAUGAAUAAUCGCCAAGAGAUGGGCUUGCGGCUGAUUAGCUUGUUGGUGAGGUAAUGGCUUACCAAGGCAAUGAUCAGUAGCUGGUCUGAGAGGAUGAUCAGCCACACUGGGACUGAGACACGGCCCAGACUCCUACGGGAGGCAGCAGUGAGGAAUUUUCCGCAAUGGGCGAAAGCCUGACGGAGCAAUGCCGCGUGAAGGAUGAAGGCCUAUGGGUUGUAAACUUCUUUUCUCAGAGAAGAAUUUUGACGGUAUCUGAGGAAUAAGCAUCGGCUAACUCUGUG